rnacentral:tRNA from 1 species
AGUCUUAUAGUCAAAAUAUGAUAUUAAAUUGCAAAUUUAAAGUUAGUAUAUCUUAAGGCUU